CCUACGGGUGGCAGCAGUGGGGAAUAUUGCACAAUGGGGGAAACCCUGAUGCAGCGACGCCGCGUGAGUGAAGAAGUAUUUCGGUAUGUAAAGCUCUAUCAGCAGGGAAGAAAAUGACGGUACCUGAUGAAGAAGACCCGGCUAACUACGUGCCAGCAGCCGCGGUAAUAAGUCGGGGGCAGGCGUUGUCCGGAUUUACUGGGAGUAAAGGGAGCGGAGACGGGAGUACAAGUCUGGAGUGAAAUGCCGGGGCUUAACCCCGGCACUGCUUUGGAAACUGUGCAGCUAGAGUGCAGGAGAGGUAAGUGGAAUUCCUAGUGUAGCGGUGAAAUGCGUAGAUAUUAGGAGGAACACCAGUGGCGAAGGCGGCUUACUGGACUGUAACUGACGUUGAGGCGCGAAAGCGUGGGGAGCAAACAGGAUUAGAUACCCGAGUAGUC
rnacentral:rRNA from 1 species